rnacentral:rRNA from 1 species
GACGAACGCUGGCGGCAUGCCUAAUACAUGCAAGUCGAACGCUGAAGCACUCUGCUUGCAGAGUGCAGAUGAGUGGCGAACGGGUGAGUAACACGUGGGAAAUCUGCCUAGGAGUGGGGGAUAACAUUCGGAAACGGAUGCUAAUACCGCAUAUCUUUUUGAACCGCAUGGUUCUUAAACGAAAGACGGCUUCGGCUGUCGCUCUUAGAUGAUCCCGCGGCGUAUUAGUUAGUUGGUGGGGUAAAGGCCUACCAAGACCAUGAUACGUAGCCGACCUGAGAGGGUGAUCGGCCACACUGGGACUGAGACACGGCCCAGACUCCUACGGGAGGCAGCAGUAGGGAAUCUUCCACAAUGGGUGAAAACCUGAUGGAGCAAUGCCGCGUGAAUGAAGAAGGUCUUCGGAUCGUAAAGUUCUGUUAUUAGAGAAGAACAAGUCAAGGAGUAACUGUCUUGACUUUGACGGUACCUAACCAGAAAGUC